AUUGAACGCUGGCGGCAUGCCUUACACAUGCAAGUCGAACGGCAGCACGGGUGCUUGCACCUGGUGGCGAGUGGCGAACGGGUGAGUAAUACAUCGGAACGUACCUUAUCGUGGGGGAUAACGCAGCGAAAGCUGUGCUAAUACCGCAUACGCCCUGAGGGGGAAAGCGGGGGAUCGCAAGACCUCGCGCGAUUAGAGCGGCCGAUGCCUGAUUAGCUAGUUGGUGGGGUAAAAGCCCACCAAGGCGACGAUCAGUAGCUGGGCUGAGAGAAAGAUCAGCCACACGGGGACUGGGACACGGGCCAGACUCCUACGGGGGGCAGCAGUGGGGAAUUUUGGACAAUGGGGGCAACCCUGAUCCAGCAAUGGCGCGUGAAUGAAGAAGGCCUUCGGGUUGUAAAGCUCUUUUGUCAGGGAAGAAACACCGGCUCUAACACAGUCCGGGAAUGACGGUACCUGAAGAAUAAGCACCGGCUAACUACGUGCCAGCAGCCGCGGUAA
rnacentral:rRNA from 1 species